AAUGAACGCUGGCGGCAUGCCUAACACAUGCAAGUCGAACGAAGGCUUCGGCCUUAGUGGCGCACGGGUGCGUAACGCGUGGGAAUCUGCCUUGGGGUUCGGAAUAACAGUUAGAAAUGACUGCUAAUACCGGAUGAUGUCGUAAGACCAAAGUUUGGUCGCCCAAGGAUGAGCCCGCGUAGGAUUAGCUAGUGGGUGGGGUAAAGGCCUACCAAGGCGACGAUCCUUAGCUGGUCUGAGAGGAUGGUCAGCGACACUGGGACUGAGACACGGUCGAGAAUCGUAGGGGAGGGAGCAGUGGGGAAUAUUGGAAAGUGGGGGGAAGGCUGAACGAGCUAUGCCGGGUGAGUAAUGAAAGGCUUAGGGUUGGAAAGCUAUUUUACCCGGUGUGAUAAUGACGUUACCAGGAGAAUAAGCUCCGGCUAACUUCGUG
rnacentral:rRNA from 1 species